GGUGCGCACUGGUGGACCGGGCAGAGCUCUGAGCGGUGCUCGAGGUCCCCCAGCCGGUGGGAAAGGCAGCUGGCUCCGCCUCAAGACCUAGGUCUGAGGCCUCCGCGCCCUCCGCUCAGGCUCCGGCUUCCAGGUCGCUGCGUCCACAUCCAGGGAAGCGCUGGCCGCACCCGGGCGCGCCGGGCCGGGAUCCUCCCCUUCGACCUUCCCCGAGGAAGAGCCCUUGGCGCAGGCUGCAGGCUGGGGAGAGGGGAGUUGCACGGAUGUGCGUGUUGUGGCCUAAGUGCCGUGGAGGGGAUGCCUGGAACCUGCGAGCCCAGCUGGAGGCCUUGGCUGACUCCUCACGGAGGAAGGCAGGGGACCUUUCCUCACAAAGGCCGAUGAGUCAGCCUGGACUGUUCCUCAGUCAGGGCUGCUGGCCCUGGAGAGAGGAACAGCAGAUGGCUAGGGUUGGCCCCUGUGGUUCGGGGGCAGGGUCCAAGAGGGCAAGAGGGAGCCCCUGGCCCAAAGGAAGCAACUGGACCGGUGUGGCUCCCUGGCCCUUUCUCCCUUCAGAACUCCUCUCCUGUCCUCACCCUGAACCUCGUCCCGUCCCGUGUCUGUUAGAUCUUGAAUCAGCCUCUGUUAAACACCUCACCCCAGCCCUGCUCACUUCCUUGCACAACUGCAAAGGCUCUCCUUUGCUCUGCUGCUCACUGACAGUAAUCCACAGGAGCACAAGACCUUUAAGAACACAGAUCAGAAACCCACAGAGCAGGCUUUCCCCGACACGUGGCCUUAGCCUUGCAGGUCCCCACGCCCGGAUCGCCCUCUCAGGCUCCUUCACAAGACCGUCGCUCUCCCACUGCCCUUCCACAACCCCACCUGCUCAAUCCCCACUGCCUCGCCACCUUCUGCCUUUCUUCCAGGGGGUUCACCACCUUCUGCAGUUCUCUCAUUGGCCUCAUUUGUGGUGUGUAUCACUUGCCAGAAUGCCAGCUUUAUGAACCCUGUGCCUGGCACAGACCUCGUGGUACUCAAGACAACAGACAUUUAAGGGAUGAAGUGGCCCCUGGGGAACACACCAAAUGCUGGCCCCUUUGGUCACCUCCCAGAGGAGUCUCCCUAGCAGGGCCAGCUGCAGAUACCUGUACCCACCUACUCACCCAGCCGCCUGGCACAAGUAGGCAAGCCUGUGGUUUAUUAGAACAAUAAUCUUAGCAGCCCCCAUUUACUGAAUGCUUAGUAUGGGCUGGGCAUUAGUUUAAUUGGGCUUAACUAGUUUAAUUUGUACGCCUUCCCCAUGAAGUAAGCACUAAUAUCUCUAGUUUACAAAGCAGAACAAAAAUGCACUCACAGACCCACACCAGGACCCAGAGUGUUCAUGGUCAGUCAGCAAACCCAAACACGCGUGGUGACACUGACUUCACUACAGAAGACCACGCAACAGACCUGGGGCUGGGGGAUAAAUAUGACGAUGGGCCUGUGCCGGCUAACGCCCACUGCACAAGGCGGAGCAGAACAGAAAUAGAACAAGACCCCAGGCAGGGUGAGCGUGUGAAAGGCUGGUCAUGUGGCCGGCUUGGUUGAGAGAGUAAGGGCAGUGUGGCCGCAGCCAUGUCUGAGUCCUCACAGCACCCGCAGGGUGCAGAGGGAAGGGCCUGGUGCCAGAGGAGUGAUCCUUAGGGACGGGGAAGCCACAUUAGCACAACGGUGGGGCAGGUGUAAAUGACGAGGGCUUGCGCA